rnacentral:rRNA from 1 species
GGGGAGAUUCAGCCCCGUCCGCGAAGGUCGGCCCCCGGGCGGUUGCUCCCGGAUGCUCCCGGCCGCCGGUCGUGCCGAAAGGUGCGCGCUGGUGUGAGUCGGGGGCACCGGCCGCCCGGGAUCUAAAGCCGCGGCGGGGUGSRCUUCUGGUCCCGGSUUGGACUUCGCGACCCGUUGGACKAGUCUACGGACGAUGCGGMCUARGGCCCGGGACUGAGACCGAGGGUGCUUCCGCUGAGGCGCGGGUCCAAGGUGCCCUCGSACCCCGGUUAAAGCCCGGCCGCCCUCCGACGGUCUUUACUAAUGGGAGGAUAAAGGCCGGCUACCCUCGCUCCUCGCAAGGGGGCGGGGCGCGAGCGUCCGGCCCGUUGGGGCAAGCUCUCCGGGGGUUCAAGCCGGGUUUGUGUGGCUCUCGUCACGCCCCCGGCCCCCGGCAGGCUGUUGGCCCCCGGUGCCCUCGGACCUCUAUCGGCCACUCCAGUCGGCGGCACUUAAGAUUCGGGUGCUCUCCCGACCCGUCUUGAAA